rnacentral:sRNA from 1 species
CGCAUACUAGUCGUGCAUUAUGGAAAGCCGUAUCGUGGGUCGUUCUUAGAUAUCCCUCGACGCACAAAACCAGUGGCGGCUGAAUCGCUGGCUGGUUUUUAGCGUGAAGGCGGGGGAGCGAAAGCGUGGGUCCAUUGUAGACGCCAGCGAAGGACCCCAGAAGCAACAUGCGCAAUCUACACAUGCUAUGGAGUAAUCUGUGCAUUGAAACAAGUUCAACAUCAUGAAGAACUACAAAGGAAAUGAAAAAAAUGAAAAAAUGAAAAAAAAAAAAAAAUAAAGGAAGCGUAUCCAGACUGUAUCUGUAAUGAUGCCUGUUAUCGGAUUGUGCUGUUUCCUCCACUGCCAACAAGCCGUAACUUAAUCGUGCCCUCGCUUAUUCCCAAUUUCAGGUAACUUUUCCAUAGUUAGGUACAGUGCAUGGAAAAAUUUAAAGGCUAG